rnacentral:sRNA from 1 species
CCUCCAACUUGGCCGUGUGGUUGUUCCUCAUUCGCGUGUCGUUGCCGGGCUUGUUUCUUUGCGAUCUGUAUUCAGUCGAAUGUUUUUGUUUGUAAACAAACCGCUUAAUGUUGGAAAAUGGUGUUCUAAUGAAAAUUGAAAAGUUUUGCCACUCCUCGCUCAGUCCGCGCUCCGCCAUCCAUUCGUGGUGCAUCCUUCAUUUCAUUUAUUUUCUUUAAUGAAUUAAUUACUUUUGGCGGCUGUUGCUCGAAUGCAGUUGCGUUCGCCAAGUUGAUUUGCUCCAAUGGAUACGAAGAGCAUGGCCAGGGCAAAGGAUGGACGGAGGGAAAGCUCCAAUGGAUGGGUUGGCUUCGCUGCUUAGACGCGUAUUGCUGCUCGAGUGAUGUGAUGAAAAGAUGCUGUUGGGUUGGCUCUUAAGGAAUAUUUAAUGAAUUGGCCAGACAUACUUUGCGCCCCCUUAACAAACAGUAUAUGAUCAACUAGAAUUUUAUUUAAAGAGACAUAUAAAAAUGUGGAAAACAAAAAGUGUUGCCUAUAUUUAGGCGUGUUGGUGUAUACAAUCAACUAUUUGUUGCAUAUCAUGUGCGCCCAUACCCAAGUGAAUGGGGAAAUGCCGCUGUCAUACAUAAAUUAAGGCCUGAGAACAUCCCACCAAAAUGCUGGGACGUUGUGUCAGCUACCAAGGAUCCAGUGACAAUAUCGCCGACUAUGCCAAGAUCUACACCGAUUGGGCCAAUUACUAUCUGGAACGUGCCAAAUCGAAAAGAAAGGUCACUGACCUCUCAUCAGAUUGCCGGGAUGGCCUACUAUUGGCCGAGGUGAUCGAGGCGGUGACCUCUUUCAAAGUUCCUGAUCUCCACAAGAAACCAAAAAAUCAACAACAA